CUAAAAUGCACAGGUCGUGAGUUCGAUGAGUAGGGCGGGACACGUGACAUCCUGUCUGAAUAUGGGGGGACCAUCCUCCAAGGCUAAAUACUCCUGACUGACCGAUAGUGAACCAGUACCGUGAGGGAAAGGCGAAAAGAACCCCGGCGAGGGGAGUGAAAUAGAACCUGAAACCGUGUACGUACAAGCAGUGGGAGCACCUUCGUGGUGUGACUGCGUACCUUUUGUAUAAUGGGUCAGCGACUUAUAUUUUGUAGCAAGGUUAACCGUAUAGGGGAGCCGUAGGGAAACCGAGUCUUAACUGGGCGAAUAGU
rnacentral:rRNA from 1 species